rnacentral:rRNA from 1 species
UACGUAGGGUGCAAGCGUUGUCCGGAAUUAUUGGGCGUAAAGAGCUCGUAGGCGGUUUGUUGCGUCGGCUGUGAAAUCCCGAGGCUCAACCUCGGGUCUGCAGUCGAUACGAGCAAACUAGAGUGUUGCAGGGGAGACUGGAAUUCCCGGUGUAGUGGUGAUAUGCGUAGAUAUCGGGAGGAACACCUGUGGCGAAGGCGGCUUUCUGGGCCUUACCUGACGCUGAGACGCGAAAGCUAGGGGAGCAAACAGG